rnacentral:rRNA from 1 species
AUUGAACGCUGGCGGCAGGCCUAACACAUGCAAGUCGAACGAGUGGCGGACGGGUGAGUAAUGUCUGGGAAACUGCCUGAUGGAGGGGGAUAACUAAUGGAAACGGUAGCUAAUACCGCAUACCAUGGGAUGUGCCCAGAUGGGAUUAGCUAGUAGGUAGGGUAAAGGCUCACCUGGGCGACGAUCCCUAGCUGGUCUGAGGGGAUGACCAUCCACACUGGAACUGAGACACGGUCCAGACUCCUACGUGAGGCAGCAGUGGGGAAUAUUGCACAAUGGGCGCAAGCCUGAUGCAGCCAUGCCGCGUGUAUGAAGAAGGCCUUCGGGUUGUAAAGUACUUUCAGCGGGGAGGCGUUACCCGCAGAAGAAGCACCGGCUAACUCCGUGCCAGCAGCCGCGGUAAUUC